GCAUUGGUUCUUGGGUGCUGCAACUUGUCACCACCAACAUCUGAAUGGCACGUGUCCUUCCCUCUAAAACCCAGGGGUGCUUAUAACAUGUGGGAGAUACUGAAAAUUAUCGAAAGAGCUUUCUACUACAUGAAGUUUCUUCUUCUGCCUUUUUCAAGUUUCAACCUUAUUUUUAAUCUUUUUUCGAGUCAGUAAGAUUUCCAUGACCCCAUUUUAUCAUUGUGCGCUCAUGGAGCAAUGGCAUUUGUGCGAAAAGGCUCAAACUCAGGCACCACACAGCUUUAAGGAGGCUCUUGAUGGGGCACUGGCGAUCGUCACGUCAGCAGACAUAUAUUGUGUUUGGAGAUGGAAGAAUUACCAAACUGAUCAUACGUACCAGACUGAAAGUUAAUUAUACUGCAGAUUAAUUCUUGAUCCGUCGUGCCGAUCAUAUGCAUGCGAUGGAUCGAACAGGGGCGGGCUAGCUGGCUUCUACUCCGUUUGAUCAUUGAGUACCCUGUGGUGAUCGUUUUGGAUAAAAGCAGAAGACAUGAGCACAGC